rnacentral:rRNA from 1 species
AGCGAACGCUGGCGGCAGGCUUAACACAUGCAAGUCGAACGCCCCGCAAGGGGAGUGGCAGACGGGUGAGUAACACGUGGGAACGUACCCUUUGGUUCGGAAUAACUUGGGGAAACUCAAGCUAAUACCGGAUAAGCCCUUAUGGGGAAAGGUUUACUGCCGAAGGAUCGGCCCGCGUCUGAUUAGCUAGUUGGUGAGGUAAUGGCUCACCAAGGCGACGAUCAGUAGCUGGUCUGAGAGGAUGAUCAGCCACACUGGGACUGAGACACGACCCAGACCCCUACGGGAGGCAGCAGUAGGGAAUAUUGGACAAUGGGGGCAACCCUGAUCCAGCCAUGCCGCGUGAGUGAUGAAGGCCUUAGGGUUGUAAAGCUCUUUUACCCGGGACGAUAAUGACUGUACCGGGAGAAUAAGCCCCGGCUAACUUCGUGCCAGCCGCCGCCGUAA